UACGAAGGGGGCGAGCGUUGUUCGGAUUUACUGGGCGUAAAGGGCGCGCAGGCGGUCCUGAAAGGCAGGCGUGAAAGCCCCGGGCUUAACCUGGGAAUUGCGCUUGAUACUCUGAGACUGGAGUACGGGAGAGGAGAGUGGAAUUCCCAGUGUAGAGGUGAAAUUCGUAGAUAUUGGGAAGAACACCAGUGGCGAAGGCGGCUCUCUGGACCGUAACUGACGCUGAGGCGCGAAAGCGUGGGGAGCAAACAGG
rnacentral:rRNA from 1 species